GAUCUAGUUAAGAUCUAUCGCCACCUCCAUUUAUCAUCCACCUCCAACCCAUCAAGGAGCGGAGCACACACAUUCUGCACGCGGCGGCAGAAAAUGGCGGCUCCUACCAGUGUGCUCCUGCUGCUGCUACUGUUCUUGGUUGGCCUGCACUCAACGGCGGCCGAAAUGCCGAUGCCGGUGAACGAGGAGGUGCUUGGGCUGGUGGUGUUCCGGUCGGCGCUCACCGACCCGUCCGGCGCGCUCUCCACCUGGGCCGAGUCCGACGCCACGCCCUGCGGCUGGGCGCACGUCGAGUGCGACCCGGCCACCUCCCGCGUCCUCCGCCUCGCCCUCGACGGCCUCGGCCUCUCCUCCACCUCCGGCCUGCCCCGCGGCCUCGACCGCCUCCCGGCGCUCCAGUCCCUCUCCCUCGCCAACAACAAACUCUCCGGCGCCCUCCGCCCGGGCCUCUCCCUCCUGCCCUCCCUCCGCUCCCUCGACCUCUCCCGCAACGCCCUCUCCGGCAACCUCCCCGACGACCUCCCCCUCCUCCCCGCGCUCCGAUACCUCGACCUCUCAUCCAACGCAUUCUCCGGCAACCUCCCGUCAUCCUUCCCGCCCACGCUCCGUUUCCUCAUGCUCUCCGGCAACCAGCUCUCCGGCGACAUACCAAAUGCGCUGCCCAACAGCCCACUCCUGCUCCACCUCAACAUGUCCAACAACCAGCUCUCCGGCGCGCCGGACUUUGCCACCGCGCUCUGGCCGCUCUCGCGCCUCCGCACGCUCGACCUCUCCGGCAACCGGCUAUCCGGCCCCAUCCCCGCCGGCAUCAGCGGCCUCCACAACCUCAAAGCACUCGACCUCAGCGGCAACCGCUUCUCCGGCAACUUCCCCGAGGACAUCGGCAUGUGCCCGCACCUCAGCGUCCUCGACGUCAGCAACAACGCGUUCGACGGCGAGCUGCCCGCAUCCAUCGCGCGCCUCGCCUCCCUGGUGCGCCUCUCGGCGUCCAGCAACAGGCUCUCGGGCGAGGUGCCCGCGUGGCUCGGCGACCUGGCCGCGCUGCAGCGGCUCGACCUCUCCGACAACGUGCUCACCGGCGCCCUGCCGGACUCGCUCGGCGAGCUCAAGGACCUCAGCUACCUCAGCCUGUCGAAGAACCAGCUCGCCGGCUCCAUCCCGGCGGCAAUGUCCGGCUGCACCAGGCUCGCCGAGCUGCACCUGAGGGGCAACAGGCUCAGCGGCAGCAUCCCCGACGCGCUGUUCGACGUCGGGCUCGAGACGGUCGACAUGUCGUCCAACGCGCUCUCCGGCGUGAUGCCGUCCGGGUCGACCAGGCUGGCGGAGACGCUGCAAUGGCUCGACCUCUCCGGCAACCAGCUCACCGGCAGCAUCCCGGCUGAGAUGGCGCUCUUCUUCAGCCUCCGGUACCUCAACGUCUCACGCAACGCGCUCCACACGCAGCUGCCGCCGGAGCUUGGCCUGCUCCGCAACUUGACGGUGCUCGACCUCCGCAGCAGCGGACUGUACGGUCCGCUGCCAAGCGAUCUGUGCGAGUCCGGCAGCCUCGCCGUGCUCCAGCUCGACGGCAACUCCCUCGCUGGCACCAUCCCCGACACCAUCGCGAAGUGCUCCUCUCUCUACCUACUGAGCUUGGGCCACAACGAUCUGACGGGGCCGAUACCGGCGAGCAUGGCGGAGCUGAAGAAGCUGGAGAUUCUGCGGCUGGAGUACAACCAUCUGACCGGCGAGAUACCGCAGCAGCUGGGCGGGCUGCAGAGCCUCCUGGCGGUGAACAUCUCGCACAACCGGCUCGUUGGAAGGCUGCCGGCGUCGGGCGUGUUUCAGAGCCUGGACGCGAGCGCGCUGGAGGGCAACCUCGGUGUGUGCAGCCCUCUGGUCACCGAGCCGUGCCGGAUGAACGUGCCCAAGCCGCUCGUGCUCGACCCCAACGAGUACACGCACGGCAACAGCAACAACGGCGACGUCGCGGAGAACGGUGGUGGUGGCCGCGGUGGCGAGGACGUGCCGAGGAAACGGCGGUUCCUGAGCGUGUCCGCGAUGGUGGCCAUCUGCGCGGCGCUGUCCAUCGCCCUCGGGGUCUUGGUGAUCACCCUGCUCAACGUGUCGUCGCGGCGGAGGAGGUCGGGUGGUGUCGGCGCCGACGAGUUCCAGGAGAAGGAGCUGGUGGAGCUGGAGAGCAUCGUGUCCGGGAGCAGCAGCUCGACCAAGUCGAGGAAGCUCGCCACCGGGAAGAUGGUGACGUUCGGGCCAGGGAGCAGCCUCCGCACGGAGGACUUCGUGGGCGGCGCGGACGCGCUGCUGAGCAAGGCGACGGAGAUCGGGCGCAGCGGCGUGUUCGGCACGACGUACCGCGCGUCGGUGGGCGAGGGCAGGGUGGUGGCGGUGAAGAAGCUGUCGACGGCGAGCGUGGUGGAGUCCCGCGACGUGUUCGACCGCGAGGCGCGCGUGCUGGGCAAGGCGCGGCACCCGAACCUGGUGCCGCUCAAGGGGUACUACUGGACGCCGCAGCUGCAGCUGCUCGUCACCGACUACGCGCCGCACGGCAGCCUCGAGGCGCGGCUCCAUGGCGGCGGCGGGGAGUCGAUGCGGCCGCUGACGUGGGAGGAGCGGUUUAGGGUGGUGGCGGGCACGGCGAGCGGGCUGGCGUACCUGCACCAGUCGUUCCGGCCGCCGGUGAUCCACUACAACGUGAAGCCGAGCAACAUCCUGCUGGACUCGCGGUGCAACCCGCUGAUCGCCGACUUCGGGCUGGCGCGGCUGCUCCGGAAGCCGACGCAGGCGGAAGGUGGCGGCGGGAGCAGCCGGUUCAUGCAUGGCGGCGGCGUUGGGUACGCGGCGCCGGAGCUGGCGUGCAGCAGCCUGCGUGUGAACGAGAAGUGCGACGUGUACGGGUUCGGUGUGCUGGUGCUGGAGCUGGUGACUGGGCGGCGGGCGGUGGAGUACGGCGAGGACGACGUGGCGGUGCUGAUCGACCAGGUUCGGGCGGUGCUGGAGCAGGGUGGCGGGGACGACGCGGUGGAGUGCGUGGACCCGGCGAUGGGCGGCGAGUUCCUGGAGGAGGAGGCGCUGCCGGUGCUGAAGCUGGGCAUGGUGUGCACGUCGCAGGUGCCGUCGAACCGGCCGUCCAUGGCGGAGGUGGUCCAGAUCCUGCAGGUCAUCAAGGCGCCGUUGCUGACGCCGGGCUGCACAAGGGAACGUUUCUGACACGUGAACCGGCGGACGAGCUCGCAUCGCGCGCAUACGACCUGCCAGCCAGAGAAUCCAUUGAUUGGCAGCUCGAGGUACCAUAGAUCCGCGGGUAGUACGUGAGGUGCACUGUGCGCCCACCACAGCGCACCGUUAUCAUCAGGGUGUUUGUUUGUUUCUUGUAGUGCUGCCGCGGUCCAUGACUUGACAUGCGUGACACAUGUGAGUGCACAGCGACUGUGUGCGUGAACUACACGGGUCCACCGUUACACAAGAAAGUAUCAACAGACUUAUGAAUGUGUACAUGAACCGUUUGUUGUUGGACAUGUUGGGCCCUGCCCUGCACAGAAUCUUUGUUACAGAUCGCUUGGACUGGCUUGUGCUCAUACCGCAAAUAGAUAUCUCCUUUAUUGAAAAUACAAAUACACAUCUGUUGCUGGCUCAA